rnacentral:lncRNA from 1 species
AGGUGCGUUUCAAAAUUCACCAAAACUAAGGAAGCAUCAAAGUUUAGAGAGCGUUUAUCGAUUAUUUGUCAACAUGGUCUUGUCAAAAUUCACCAUAUCCCAUGUUUAUAGUACAAUUUUAUAUCUUGAACUAAAUGUUGUGUAAAUGAGAUCAAUAUCUUGAACUAAAUGUUGUGUAAAUGAGAUAAAUAAAGUUUCUUCUCUAAGUUUUAUUUUUUGCUUUACAAGUCUUUUAAGCAUUUCC